GAUGAACGCUGGCGGCGUGCCUAAUACAUGCAAGUCGAGCGAAUGGAUUAAGAGCUUGCUCUUAUGAAGUUAGCGGCGGACGGGUGAGUAACACGUGGGUAACCUGCCCAUAAGACUGGGAUAACUCAGGGAAACCGGGGCUAAUACCGGAUAACAUUUUGAACCGCAUGGUUCGAAAUUGAAAGGCGGCUUCGGCUGUCACUUAUGGAUUGACCCGCGUCGCAUUAGCUAGUUGGUGAGGGAACGGCUCACCAAGGAAACGAUGCGUAGCCGACCUGAGAGGGUGAUCGGCCACACUGGGACUGAGACACGGCCCAGACUCCUACGGGAGGCAGCAGUAGGGAAUCUUCCGCAAUGGACGAAAGUCUGACGGAGCAACGCCGCGUGAGUGAUGAAGGCUUUCGGGUCGUAAAACUCUGUUGUUAGGGAAGAACAAGUGCUAGUUGAAUAAGCUGGCACCUUGACGGUACCUAACCAGAAAGCCACGGCUAACUACGUGCCAGCCGCCGCCGUAA
rnacentral:rRNA from 1 species